AUUGAACGCUGGCGGCAGGCUUAACACAUGCAAGUCGAGCGGGGUGAUGGUGCUUGCACUAUCACUUAGCGGCGGACGGGUGAGUAAUGCUUAGGAAUCUGCCUAUUAGUGGGGGACAACAUCUCGAAAGGGAUGCUAAUACCGCAUACGUCCUACGGGAGAAAGCAGGGGAUCUUUAUGACCUUGCGCUAAUAGAUGAGCCUAAGUCGGAUUAGCUAGUUGGUGGGGUAAAGGCCUACCAAGGCGACGAUCUGUAGCGGGUCUGAGAGGAUGAUCCGCCACACUGGGACUGAGACACGGCCCAGACUCCUACGGGAGGCAGCAGUGGGGAAUAUUGGACAAUGGGGGGAACCCUGAUCCAGCCAUGCCGCGUGUGUGAAGAAGGCCUUAUGGUUGUAAAGCACUUUAAGCGAGGAGGAGGCUCUUUUGGUUAAUACCCAGAAUGAGUGGACGUUACUCGCAGAAUAAGCACCGGCUAACUCUGUGCCAGCCGCCGCAGUAA
rnacentral:rRNA from 1 species